CCUACGGGAGGCAGCAGUAGGGAAUCUUCCGCAAUGGACGAAAGUCUGACGGAGCAACGCCGCGUGAACGAUGAAGGCCUUCGGGUCGUAAAGUUCUGUUGUUAGGGAAGAACAAGUGCUAGUUGAAUAAGCUGGCACCUUGACGGUACCUAACCAGAAAGCCACGGCUAACUACGUGCCAGCAGCCGCGGUAAUACGUAGGUGGCAAGCGUUGUCCGGAAUUAUUGGGCGUAAAGCGCGCGCAGGCGGUUUCUUAAGUCUGAUGUGAAAGCCCCCGGCUCAACCGGGGAGGGUCAUUGGAAACUGGGAAACUUGAGUGCAGAAGAGGAAAGUGGAAUUCCAAGUGUAGCGGUGAAAUGCGUAGAGAUUUGGAGGAACACCAGUGGCGAAGGCGACUUUCUGGUCUGUAACUGACGCUGAGGCGCGAAAGCGUGGGGAGCAAACAGGAUUAGAUACCCUGGUAGUCCACGCUGUAAACGAUGAGUGCUAAGUGUUAGAGGGUUUCCGCCUUUAGUGCUGAAGUUAACGCAUUAAGCACUCCGCCUGGGGAUACGGUCGCAAGACUGAAACUCAAAGGAUUGACGG
rnacentral:rRNA from 1 species